GCCAUCAUGGUCCCGAGUGGAAUCCUAAGGUGACACCUGGAAUGUGCCUGCCUCUGAGAGCAGCCUUUUGGCUCCCCAGGCCUCAGUUGCGUUCCUGGAAUAUGAGAAGUUGCUUGGAAUUGCUUUUCCACAGCCUCUGUUGAACCUGUGUCUCUCUCUGUGGAUUAUGGCUCUGCUCCUUGGUUACUUCAAUUUAGAAUAGCUUUCUUUUCUAGGUUUGUUUUUUUUGAAAUGGGGUCUUGCUCUGUUGUCCAGGCAAUAGUGCAAUAGUGCAAUCAUGACUCAACCUCCCAGGCUCAGGUGAUCCUCCCACCUCAGCCUCUGGGGUAGUUGGGACUACAGGCACGCACAACUAUCCUGACCAAUUUCUUAUUUUUGGUAGAGAGAGGGUCUCUUGAUGUUACCCAGCCUUGUCUUGAACUCCUGGCUUCAAGAGAUCCUCCUGCCUUUGCCUCCUAAAGGACUGGGUUACAGGUAUGAGCCACCAGACCUUGCCUUAUUUUCCAGGUUUUGAGAAGCUACAAGUGAGAUAAUUAUUGCUGCCUGUCUAACCUAUUCUCUUCCACACAUUGCGGAGGUCACUGGAAGAAACAGUAAAUCACAAACUCUUUUUCUUCUAUCCAUAACUUUUCCUGCCUCAUUUAGAAUUACCACUCUUGACAACAGGACCCCCCAUUUUUGUCUAUCACCUUAUUAAAUCUUCUGUCAAAUUGCUUUAUUUAAAACAUUUUGCAAACUUAGAGAAACUCUGGUUAUAACUAAAAAUUGUAAGCUGACAGUCAUUUUAACUGGUUGCUCUAAGAGGGUGGCAGAAUUCCUCUUAAAGAGCAAACUGCUCUUUUGUUGGGAAAGCAUUCAGUGGGCUUUUCUGAGUGUGGGGGUGGACCCCAGGAGAGUCUGGGUAGGAGAGGGUCAGCCUGAAAGAGAGCCAAGUUUCUCUGCACCAUCAAGUCACAGGAAUUUUGGAGUGGGUUCCACCCACCACUGCAGGGCUGAGGAAGGUCAGACCAUGAGAGAGAGACAUUGAAAACAAAAAGCUUUCUUAGAGUCCAGGGAGCAGGCCCCAGAAAUACCCAGUUGAGAGUGCCACCAGUAAGGACUCCUCGAGGGGGAGACUUCAGAAAACUUUAGCAAUAGUGUGACCAGGAUUCAAUUUUAAGUCAGUCCAUGUUUUGUGCUAUCAUUCCUCUACAUUGCUCAUAUAAAACAAGAAAAUACAAUAACACACUGCUAAUCACAAGAGCAUUAUCAUGAAGAAAAGGGUGGUGAGUCCAUAUUUUGAAGCAAAGCAAACUAGAAUGGGCUGGGGCAGCCUGGAAAGGCAGUGGGCAGAUGGAGGGAAGAAAUUGAAAAAGUCAGGAGCAAGAGAAAAAUGGGAAGAACCAAGUCUCAACUCUAGAAUCUGCUGGAAAAUUGAAGAACACGUUAGACUUCCCACAAUUUAGGGGAUGGCUGUUAAAGAAAAGGAUGGCCUCAGAAGGACAGAAGAGUUAAGGACUUUGGGGUUUUAUGGAUAAUCCUUAUAUGAAACAUUACAUGUUUUUUUCACUGCUUAAACAACAGACUUCAGCAAUGAUGUAUGUCAGAGAAAUGGGCACAGAAAGUGAGGAAGGACUGUGUGCCUGCAGUUUGUCCCAUUAAAUUGUGGCAAUGAAGGCAGGAAGCCUCGUGUAUAUUCACAUAUAAUAGUAAUAAGAAAAAGAUCAACAGAAAGUGAUUAUGCAACAUUCAACAUUUUUGCGGUACCCAAAGACUUCAUUGAGUUGAUUCAUCUUAAUAUUGUCAUUUUGAUACAAAAUAUCUUUGCAGGAUAUUUGUAGGCACAGCUACCCCAAAUCCCAUUUGCAUUAAUCUAAAACAGACUUGCAGGCCCAGUUCCAGAAAUUCCUUGGGCAAGUCCAUAACGCACAUUCACCGUCAGGCAUGAAGGAAUAGCUUAUCCAGCAGAAAUAUCGGAGGCCAGGCCCCAGUACAAACUCCUUCAGACUUCUCAGUACUCAAGACAUCUCAAGUUUUUGAAGAGUAAACAAAACAGAAUUCAUAACUGAAAGAGGAAUAGAGAAAGAGGAAAAAAGUGAUCUGGGACCUGUUGUUUUUCUUGCAUCCCAUUUCUACUCUGCCUGUGAGUGAAGACUGUUGUGGAAAAGUCAACUGGAGAGACCAGGUCAAAGGCCAAGCAGAAGAGGAAUUAGGCUUAAGACUGCACUGAGAGGGAACACUAGACCAUGGUGGUAAAUGGAGUCUCGACACGUUGCCCAAGCUGUUCUCAAACUCCAGGGCUUGAACAAUCUUCCCACCUUGGCCUCCCAAGGCACUGGAAUUACAGAGACAGUGCUCUGCAGGGAGUCUACCACUGUGAUGGUUAAUACUGAGUGUCAACUUGAUUGGAUUGAAGGAUGCAAAGUAUUGUUCCUGGGUGUGUCUGUGAGGGUGUUGCCAAAGGAGAUUAACAUUUGAGUCAGUGGGCUGGGAAAGGUAGACCCAGCCGUAAUCUAGGUGGGCACCAUCUAAUCAGCUGCCAGCACAGCUAGAAGAUAAAGUAGGCAGAAAAACAUGAAAACAUUAGACUGGCCUAGCCUCUGAGCCUACAUCUUUCUCCCAUGCUGGAUGCUCCCUGCCCUUGAACAUCAGACUCCAAGUUUUUCAGUUUUGGGACUGGGACUCACUAUCCUUGCUCCUCAGCUUGCAGACAGCCUAUUGUGGGACCUUAUGAUCAUGUGAGUUAAUACUUAAUACAUAAAUAUAUAUAUAUACACACACACAUAUACACACACACACACACAUAUAUAUAUACACACACACACACAUAUAUAUAUAUAUCUGUCCCUCUAGAGAACCCUGACUAAUACAACUACUAAUAAAAAUUGGGGCAAAAGACAUUGAUUGGGUAUUGUAAGUAGGUUAUGCUCACAGUAGCAAUAUCUCUUAAGACUUUUUAAAAGACUUCCUAAUAAAAGAGAUUUAAAAUACAGCAAAUAACAAGUUUGUGCAUUUUCAAUUUCAUUAUCAGCACCACCUUCAUUAUCCAAAGUUAUUACUAAAGCUUAUGACACAUACAGCAUGAGCAGCAGACAGAAAAUUUUGAAGUCAGUGCCUCUGUGGUUCACAGGUGCAGAGGCAGACAUCACAGCUGUCAAGCAGUUAUUUACAAGAGAGACACUUCUCCAGUAGUAAUUGACAACCUUCUUUAAGGGAAAAGAGGCUGCAAAACUGUGGAAUAUUAGAACAUGAAGCCAAAGAGGAAAACUGACUUGCCUAAGGCCACUCAACAAAUUAUUCAGCCAGAAUGGGAACUCAUACUUGACUUCAACUUCUUAUUCCUCGUGUUCUUACUCCUACAAGUUUUCCACUACUCAGGGGCUCUUUAGGGUAAAUUAACCAUGAAAACACACACAUGCACACACACAUACAAACUAAAUUCCAUUCAUAUUAAGAUAUGCUUCCUUUUUUCUCUCCCCUAUCCAUGGUAGUAAUAACAAGAAGUAAAAGCUUUUUCAUUAUAAAGUAAACUUCCAUUUUUCUUUCUUGAUACGUUUUCAGGUUUUCCUCUAAAAGUAAUUAAAAGUACUACUCAAGUUGUUCCUAGUUGUCUAGAAUGGCUUAUGCUGCCAUUAGCUUCUACAGCUCUGUCAUUAGAGAAAUGGACUGUACUUCUUCUUCACCUUUCACAUGCGGCCAAAAUUGGGUUACUUUAAAAGGCCAGAUGUCAAAAGCAGAUAAAUCCUUUGUACUGUAAUGAGCAUAAUGAUGAAUAAUGGCACUUAUGUUCAAUAAACGAUGCCCUGCCCAUAAACAGCCUUUCCUCUCAGAUAUUCUAUUUAAUUCAAUGAUAUAUUCCAGGUAAUUUGUGGAACUGAAUGAGAAAUUACCUUAAACAAGAAGACUUUGGAAUUUACUAAAAUAUACUUGUUGAAAAUAAUUAAUGGAAGCAGAGUUUGCAUUAGUAAAAUUAUGGCAUUAAAAUCCGUCAUUGCAUGAAUUCAUCUUCCAAGUGGCCUGCCUUGGAGCAGGUGUACAGAUGAGGGCAUUGUGGCAUGAACAAUGUUGGUAGUAAAAGGCAUGCUAUUGAUAUCAAUGUGCCAUGGUAUGUGGUGCUCUUUGUGUGUUUUAAGAACAGAGACAAUCCAUAUAGUGUUGAUCAUCUCCCACUUAAACUACUGUAAAACCCAACUGAUCUUGCUACCUAUAUUCCAUGGAACUAUCCUAGUAAUCUUUGGAAAACAUAAAUCACAUCACGCCACUAACCCCCACUCAAACUACUAAUGGUUUCCCACCAUAGUUGAAGUAAAAAUCCAAAAUGCUUUCCAUGCUCUAUAAGACUGUAAAAAGACCUAUCUCUAGCCUGCCUCUCUGACAUUAUCGUCUACUAUUCUUUCCCCCUUGCUACUCCACACUAGUUACACUUGCAGUAUUGAUAGUUCUUAAAUAUUCAAAGAUAUUCCUUCCCCCAGGGACCUUGCGGUUUUUUUCUCCACUAUAUCUCAUUUUUGCAUGAAUCACUUCCUCAUCACAUUCAAGAAUCUGCUUAUAUAUCAUCUACAACUUCUAUUCCCAGCAACACAGCAAACUACAUACCUUGAAAAAAAAACUUUCCCAGUGGAGAACAGCUAAAAUUGCUUUAAAAAUGCAUUUUUAGAUACUUUAAUUGUUUAAUUGAGAAGUUUUUUAAAAAAUCGUAGAAACCAAAAAGUUAAAGCAAAAACAUUAAUCUCAAAAGGUAAGAGAAUACUGAAAACGAUGCCUGUCCUGGGACAAUGGCUGAUCGCUGAUAGUCCAGAGCUGCACUGUUCGAUACAGUAGCCACUUGCCACCUGCGACUAUUUAAAUUUUUUAAAAAAUUAUAAAUUUAAUUUCUCAAUUACAUAAGCCACACUUCAAGUGUUCAAUAAUCACAGUGGCUGAUGGAUACCAUGUUGGACAACACAAAUACAGAACGUUUCCAUCAUAUAGAAAGUUGAAUUGGAUGCUCUGAUCUCAAUUUUUAAACAAAACCUAGAGCCCAUUGAAAGAGAAAGUUAGAUUGGAGACCUCCUCCUAUUUCAGGUACACAGAUCCCCCUAAAGAAAAAAACACUACACCUACAAGGAACAUCCGAGCUAGAAAGAAAAUCUUUCCUCCCAAAGUAAAACAGGAAAAACAAUGCAUGUCUAAGACUUGACCCCAAAUUGAAGAAAAAAAUGUUCUUCUAGAAUACAUAACAAUCUGUUCUUCACAUAUGUUUGGAGCCAGAAUUUUCUCUACCUCUAUGAUCCAAUUAAUUUGAAGCUGAGAAAUUUCUUUAAACUAAUGCUGGAAUGGGAGUGUCACCAUGUUCCCAACAGAAGUAAAUGUAAACCAUCUAUUAAGGAACCUACCCUAAAUCCCAGGCUUCAACAAAAUCCCUGCAAAAUGUAUAAAAAUAUAUAUGCUCACAAAAAUAAAAUACGAAAGUAAAUAAGAUACUAAGAGUGAGCAGAAACCACUGAAAGAAGAGUAAAACUCUCAAAUACUGUAGAUAUUAGAAUUAUUGUAUAUAGAAUAUAAUGGUUAUGUAAUAAAUACCCUUAAAAUAAGAGUGUCAAUACUACAUUUAAUAAAUGAUUUACUACAUACAGCCAUUAUGGAAAACAAUACAGAGCUUCCUCAAAAAACUAAAAACAGAACUGCCAUAUGACCCAGCAAUCCCACUGCUGGGCAUAUAUCCAAAAGAAAGGAAAUCAGUAUGUCAGUGAGAUAUCUGUACUACCAUGGUUAUUGUAGCACUAUUCGCAAUAGCCAAAAUAUGGAAUCAACCUGAGUGUCCACCAAUAGAUGAGUAGAUUUUUUUAAUGUGGUAUAUAUAACAAUGAAGUAGUAUUCAGCCAUAAAAAAGAAUGAAAUUCUGUCAUUUGCAGCAACAUGGAUGGAAUGGGAGGUCAUUAUGUUAGUGAAAUGAGCCAGUCACAGAAAGACAAACAUCACAUGUUCUCACUUACAUGUGGAAGCUAAAAAACUGAAUCUCAUGGAGGUAGAGAACAGAAUGAUGAUUACAAGAGGCUGGGAAAGGAAGUGGGGAAGGGGAAUGAAGAUGAGUUGGUUAAAGGGUACAACAAUAUUGUUAGAAGGAAUAAGUUCUAUUAUUUGAUGGUAUAGUAUGGAAAUUAUAGUUAACAAUAAUUUAUUAUAUAUUUCAAAAUAGCUAAAAAAGAAGAAUUAUAAUGUUCCCAACACAAAAAAAAAUGUUCGAGGUGAUGGAUAUCCCAAUUACUCUGAUUUGACUACAUAUUGUACGCAUCUGUCAAAUUAUCACAUGUAUCCCAAAAAACAUGUACAAUUAUGAUAUAUCAAUAAAAAUACAAAUAAGACACUACAAAAAUGAUUAGGUUUUUUUAAAAAGUCUAGAAAUUUAAAAUAUAGUAAAUAAUAUUUUUGAACAGAUUUGAAAUGAUUGAACAGAAAGUUAAUAAUUGGAAAAUAACUCUGAAGAAAUUACACAGAUUAUAGCCUAAGAUAACAAAGUGAUUGAUAGGGGGCUAUAGUAAUAAAUAUAAUUGAAGUUUGGAAAUAAGGUAAUAGAAAUAGACAAUAUUUGAAGGGUAAAUGGCUAAGGAUUUUCCCAAAUUAUGAAAGUCAUAAAUUCCCAGGUUCCAGAAGCCAAACAAAUGCUAGAAGGGUAAAUAAAAAGAAACACACAUGUAGAGAUAUUGUAAUGAACCUGCAGAAUACCAAAGAUAAAACUAUUUUUAAAGUAGACAGUAAAAAGGCAAACCAGCAACAAAGUAAUAUCAAUUAGACUGAUGCCUGACUUCUCAAAAGCAGCAGUGAGGCUAGAAGUAAAUAGAAUAACAACUUCAAGAUUAGACAGUUAUGACCUAGAAUUAUAUACCAAGUGAAAAUGUUGUUUCAAGAAUUAAGGCUGUGUCAAUCAAACUUUAUCUUAGAUCAGGGUCUCUAGAAAUACAGCUUGAAACAGGAAUCUCUAUACAGGUGAUUAACUGACAGACUUCUCUCCUGAGUAAAUUAUAAUGAUGUAAGGGGAACAGGAUAAGGCAGGGGAAGAAACUCAAGAUGUGGUUUCAGCUAUAGUCUAGCCCCAGCCUGACCUCAAGGGAGUUCUGGAGUAUGAUUAUCACCACGUGGUUGUCCCACCUUGAGGCAAAAGGCUUAGGUGUCUUUCAAAGACCCAGGUGUUGUUUAUUAAUUCCUCACAUCAAGUAUCUUCUCCAUCAAGACUUUAACUGGUGUUUUAGAGCCAUGUUAAGACAAAUAACUUAGGCAUUACUUAUAAGCUUUACUAUUUUCAUUGUUCAUUUAAAUUUUUUAUAUAUCAUGGCCUUAAUAUGUAGUCUUUUAAAGUUAUGUUAUAUUUACACUCAAGGCACAUGAUAUUAAUAUAUUCACCACUGAGAUUGUCUGUGCUAAUAUUUUGCUACAUUCCCUUUAGAUUGUCAUUAUUUUCAAAGAAACAACACAUUACAAAUACAGUUACAGUCCCACCUUCCAUCUCUUCCUCAUUCCUGUCUACUCAGAAGUAACCCUUUUUCUGAAAUAAGUAUUAUCAUACUCAUAUAUGUUUAUUUCUUUCCUUUGGAUAAACUUCCUAAAUGUUUGAUACUCUAUAUUCAACUUUUUUUUUUUUUAGCCACAACAUUAUAUCUCUGAGACUUGCUAUGUUGAUACAUUCAAAUCCAAUUCAUUCAUUUUCAUUUUAGGCAUUCUGCUGGACCAACAAACAACAGUGUAUUUUUUCAUCCCCCUGCUGUUUGACAAUAAGAUUUUCUUAGCCUUGUAACAAUUAACAACUCAAAAAUAUACAUCUUUGUAUAUGUCUCCUUGAACAAGAGUUUCUCCCUGAGAAGCUCCCAGAAGAAGAACUGUUGGGCUAUGGAGAAUAUGCAUUGUCAACCUUACUUGGUAGUUCCAACAUAGCUUUCCAAAGUGUUUAUACUUAUUUUCCGUCCCUGCAACCACGCCUUGGAGUUCUUGUUUUGUUUGCAUUAUCACCAACAGUGAAUAUUAUCAAACUUAAUAAAUUUGUAAAUAUAAAAUGUUUUGUCCUUGUUUUAAUUUACAUUUCCUAAGUACUAAAGAAGUUGGACAUCUUUACAUAUAUUUAUUGGCCAUUGUAUUAGUUCAUUUUCACACUGCUAAUAAAGACACACCUGAGCCUGAGUAAUUUAUAAAGAAAAAGAAAUUUAAUGGACUCAUAGUUCCACAUGGCUGGGGAGGUCUCACAAUCAUGGCAGAAGGUGAAUGAGGAGAAAGACAUGUCUUACAUGGCAGCAGACAAGAGAGAGCAUGUGAGGGGAACUGCUGUUUAUAAAAUCAUCAGAUUUCAUGAGACUUAUUCACUAUCAAGGGAACAGCAUGGGAAAAACCCGCCCCAUGAUUCAAUUACCUCCCACAGGCUCCCUCCCAUGACACAUGGGGAUUAUUAGAAUUCAAGGUGAGAUUUGGGUGGGGACACAAAGCCAAACCAUAUCAGCCAUCUAUCUUCCUCUGUCAGUUUACCAUUAUAUAUUUUAACAAUAUUUAUAUCUGAUAUUAUUGAUUUCUAAGAGCAUUUUAUAUAUUCUGCGUAUUAAUAUUUCAUUGGUAAUAUGAGUUGCAAGUGUCUUUUCUCAGUCUAUGACUUUUAUUUUCAUCUCUGUCCCCUUUUAUACAGAAGUUUUAUGUUUCAGUGUAUCAGAAUGUAUUAAUUUUUCCUUUCGUGCUUUCUCUAAGAAUUAUAUCUUAGGAGUAAGUUCAAGAGAGCUAUUGUACAAUAUGGUUGUAUAGUUAAUAACAUUUUGAAAAUCACUGACUAGAUUGUUUUUACCACAAAAAAUGAUAAGUACAUGAUGUAAUGUAUGUGUUAAUUAGCUCAAAUGAGCCAUUCCACAAUGUAUACGUAUUUCAAAACAAUGUUGUACACAAUAAGUAUAUAAAUAUAUGCAAUUUCUAUUGGUCAAUUAAAAAUAUAUUUUACUAAAGGCAUAAAAAUAUUCUCCCAUUUUUUGGUUGAAAGUUUUAGAGCUUUGCUGAUCACAUUUAGGUCUUUAAGCUAUCUGGAAUGUAUUUUUGUGAAUGAUGUGAUAUAGCAAUCUCAUUUUAUCUUGUACUAUAUAAUGGCCAAGUUCCUCAGCAUCAUUUAUUGAUGAUUUUAUCCCCUUUCUCAUAUAAAAAACUCCCAAG
rnacentral:lncRNA from 10 species